GGGUGAGUAACGCGUGAGUAACCUGCCUUACACAAGGGGAUAGCCAUUGGAAACGACGAAUAAUACCCUAUGAAACUAUCACUUCGCAUGAAGCGAUAGUCAAAGUGUUAGCGGUGUAAGAUGGACUUGCGUCUGAUUAGCUAGUUGGUGAGAAAAAAGCCCACCAAGGCAACGAUCAGUAGCCGGCUUGAGAGAGUGUACGGCCACAUUGGGACUGAGACACGGCCCAG
rnacentral:rRNA from 1 species